rnacentral:hammerhead_ribozyme from 1 species
AUCCAGUUGACGAGCCCCAAAUAGGACGAAACGCUUGUCAUAGAU